rnacentral:rRNA from 1 species
AAGCGGUAGUGACUUAGCGGCGGACGGGUGAGUAACGCGUGGGUAACCUGCCCCAUACCGGGGGAUAACGGUUAGAAAUGACCGCUAAUACCGCUUAAGCGCGCGAGGCCGCAUGGCCGUGCGCGAAAAACUCCGGUGGUAUGGGAUGGGCCCGCGUCUGAUUAGGUAGUUGGCGGGGUAAGGGCCCACCAAGCCGACGAUCAGUAGCCGACCUGAGAGGGUGGCCGGCCACAUUGGGACUGAGACACGGCCCAAACUCCUACGGAAGGCAGCAG